rnacentral:rRNA from 1 species
UAGGGAAUCUUCGGCAAUGGACGAAAGUCUGACCGAGCAACGCCGCGUGCGUGAAGAAGGUUUUCGGAUCGUAAAACUCUGUUGUUAGAGAAGAACAAGGACGUUAGUAACUGAACGUCCCCUGACGGUAUCUAACCAGAAAGCCACCGCUAACUACGUGCCAGCAGCCGCGGUAAUACGUAGGUGGUAAGCGUUGUCCGGAUUUAUUGGGCGUAAAGCGAGCGCAGGCGGUUUCUUAAGUCUGAUGUGAAAGCCCCCGGCUCAACCGGGGAGGGUCAUUGGAAACUGGGAGGCUUGAGGGCAGAAGAGGAGAGUGGAAUUCCAUGUGUAGCGGUGAAAUGCGUAGAUAUAUGGAGGAACACCAGUGGAGAAGGCGGCUCUCUGGUCUGUAACUAACGCUGAGGCUAGAAAGCGUGGGGAGCAAACAGG